rnacentral:rRNA from 1 species
CAGUCGCCGCGGGAAUACGUAGGGUGCAAGCGUUAAUCGGAAUUACUGGGCGUAAAGCGUGCGCAGGCGGUCCGCUAAGACAGAUGUGAAAUCCCCGGGCUUAACCUGGGAACUGCAUUUGUGACUGGCGGGCUAGAGUAUGGCAGAGGGGGUAGAAUUCCACGUGUAGCAGUGAAAUGCGUAGAGAUGUGGAGGAAUACCGAUGGCGAAGGCAGCCCCCUGGGCCAAUGCUGACGCUCAUGCACGAAAGCGUGGGGAGCAAACAGGAUUAGAUACCCCCGUAGUCCCUGUCUCUUAUACA